rnacentral:rRNA from 1 species
UACAGAGGGUGCAAGCGUUAAUCGGAUUUACUGGGCGUAAAGGGCGCGUAGGCGGCCACCGCAAGUCGACUGUGAAAUCUCCGGGCUUAACCCGGAAAGGUCAGCCGAUACUGCGGGGCUAGAGUGCAGAAGGGGCAACUGGAAUUCUCGGUGUAGCGGUGAAAUGCGUAGAUAUCGAGAGGAACACCUGCGGCGAAGGCGGGUUGCUGGGCUGACACUGACGCUGAGGCGCGAAAGCUAGGGGAGCGAACGGG